UGGUGUGGACAAUGUCCGUGUCUGGGUGUGGUAAGUGGGCUCUUUAGCAGCCCAGCUGUGUGUGACCUGUGACUGGGAGGCUUUUCCCAGUGGACAAGGGCACAGUCAGGGACUACAUCCGCCAGCUGCCUCCCGUGACUCUGCCUGUGCCCAAACAGUGAGAGUGUCAUCUCCGAUGUAUUGCCAGGCAACCAAGUGUGCCAGGGCCUGGGUGUGUCCCCUAAUGCUGUCUUGAGUUCAGCAGCCCAGGCCGGCCUGCUUGCUAUGCCGGUGUCUCUAGCUGGCCAUGCCCUCUUGAGACGGCAUGCUCCCUCGUUCAUUCCUCCUGCCCCAGUACUAAGGAUGGAAGCCAAGGUCUUGUGCAAGCUAGAGGCACACACCACCACUGAGCCACACCUCCAGCCAGCAACAGCCUUGGGUUCAAUCCCUCUGCUACCUCAGGAGGCUGGUGCUAGAACUGGAAGCUUCCUUUUGGCCUGGAGGCCAGCCCUCCUUGAAUCUGAGAGUUGGACUAUGGAGGACCGACUUUAGUGAAAAGAAUGCAUUCUCACAGGGAUGUCUGGAUGAGGGAGUACAAUCCAACCCUUCUUUUAAUUUGCCUGAGGAGGUUUUUUCAUCCACAGUGUUUGGUGAUUUUGUCCUGUUUUUAGGAAUUUUAAAACUUUGGACAGUGAAAGCACCAUCUGAAAUCGUCAGAGAACUUUCCGGUUCCCCUGGAGAUUUGUUCUAUGUCGAUUUUUUUGUGUUUAUUUAUGUAUACCUUUAAUUAUUUAAUAUGUAUAUUUUGCCUGCAGUGCCCAAGGGGGCCAGAAGAGGGCGUCGGAUCCCCUGGAACUGGAGUUACAGACAAUUGUGAGUUGUCAUGUGGGUGCUGUGAUUCGAACCUGGGUUCCUGACCACCGAACCAUCUCACCAGACCUCAUUUUGACUUUAAGGUCCGCCUUGGCUACGUAGCCAGUUUGGGGCCAGAAUGGGCUGCAUGAGAUCCUGUCUCAAAUGAGUAGCCCGGAGGUACAGCUAGGUGCUGCAGAGCCUGUCCUAGGUUCGAUAUCCAGCAAUGAGAAAACAAGACGACUCAGCCAGAAACCGGAUAAGGGCGCGCGCUUACCACCGUGCCUGACCGCAUUGUAUGUGUCUGCAGGAAAACACACACACACCAGUGUGUGCAGUGCAUGGAGGUCAGACGAGGGCGUCGGAGCUCUACGCACCCGUGGAAGCAAGCCAGAGGACAACUUGAUGGACUAUAAACUUCUUCUUCCAUCAUGUGGAUCUGCAAGCUGGAACUCAGGUUAUCAAGCUUGGUGGCAUGUGUGCCCAUCUCACUGAACCUCUAACUUUUUCUAAAUUAAUUAACUUUUUCUGAUGGAAUAUGCUGUAUAGACCAUGCUGGCUUUGAACUCAUCAAGAUCUGCCUGUUUCUGCCUCCUGAAUGCUGGGAUGCUGGAAUGCCUCACUACAGUCGUUCAUAUUUAUUUUGAGCCAAACUGCCACCAUAUUGGCCUGCUUGGCCUGGAACUAAGAGACCUGACUCUGCUUCUCGGGUAUUUGGAUUAAGACAGAAAUCACUAUACCAGCUAAUUUUACACCCCCACCCCCACCCCGCCCCAACAGGGUUUCUCUGUAACUUUGGAGGCUGUCCUGGAACUCACUCUGUAGACCAGGCUGGUCUCAAACUCACAGAGAUCCGCCUGCCU